AAAAAUGUCGGAAAAACUAAAAUUUAUUUUUGUGCGCGAUGAAAUCAACUCGCGCUGUCGAUGCGCAGUUUUCUUUAAAGUAAAAAUGUUUUUUCAGAUGUGGAAAAUAAAUCAUCCAGCGAAAAAUAAACGAAAAUUGGACGAAUAAUUUAACGAGAGCAUUAAGAAAGAAAUGGAUCUUCUGAAGUAAGACAAUACGCGAUGUUUUCAAGUUAAUCAAAUCAAUCCUCGUAAAAAAUCGAUUUUAUACGCAAAUUUUUAAAACUCUUCGCCGAGUGUCCCGACGAAGAAAAAGGAAGAAAUUCCUGCGAGUUUCAUGCGCGCGUCGGCAAAAGAGAGUUUCUUACAAACUUCUUUAUAUUUACUCACGAUUCACUCACCGUAACGUUCUGCAUAAACUUGCGAAUUAUGGGUUUACCAAGACAAUCCAUUCAUAUCUAAUAAAGUUCACGUUCAACUAAUAAUGAACAAAAACGUUUUGCACAUCGCUGCAACCGUAUGGGCAGACAUCUACGUCGUAUAACAUUUCGCGUGCUGUACGAUGCUGGCGUCGUCACAGUCCGAAUCGGAAAGACAAAAGAUCCGUAACAAGAUGAACGACGACCCGAUUCUAGCGAAGAUCUUGCGGCAGUUAGACACGAGCAAGGGCGAAGAUGACGCCGAUGAAAUCAUGGAAGCGAGAUCGCAGCGUAAGAGGCGAGAAAAGAACGAGGAUACGGGCGAGCCCAGCGGUUAGGUUCAAGGCACAAGGAACUUGAUUAACUUAGAACAUCUGAUAUUUGCGCAGGGUAGUCACUUCAUGGCGAACAAACGUUGCCAGCUUCCCGACGGUAGCUUCCGCAAGCAGCGAAAGGGGUACGAAGAGGUUCACGAAAGAUUGGAAUCAAUUUGAAGGAAAAUCAUAUUACAUGUUCGUUGACUCGGACACUAUGUGCACCAACGAUAACUUUAGCUGUCAAGACUAGCGAUAGCAACAGCAAUAACAAUGGUUACGAAACGGCUUCGGUAAACAUCAAUUAACAAUUAACAAUAACAUUACAUCAAUGCUACAUCGCUAUCUUGGGAGAAAUCGUGAAAUGGUCCUUUUAGAACAUAAAUUUUCCUUGAGAAUUCCAUUAAAAUCGGAAUAAUAUUAUAAUUAAAAAAU